rnacentral:rRNA from 1 species
GACGAACGCUGGCGGCGUGCUUAACACAUGCAAGUCGAACGGAAAGGCCCUGCUUUUGUGGGGUGCUCGAGUGGCGAACGGGUGAGUAACACGUGAGUAACCUGCCCUUGACUUUGGGAUAACUUCAGGAAACUGGGGUUAAUACCGGAUAGGGGCUCCUGCUGCAUGGUGGGGGUUGGAAAGUUUCGGCGGUUGGGGAUGGACUCGCGGCUUAUCAGCUUGUUGGUGGGGUAGUGGCUUACCAAGGCUUUGACGGGUAGCCGGCCUGAGAGGGUGACCGGCCACAUUGGGACUGAGAUACGGCCCAGACUCCUACGGGAGGCAGCAGUGGGGAAUAUUGCACAAUGGGCGGAAGCCUGAUGCAGCAACGCCGCGUGCGGGAUGACGGCCUUCGGGUUGUAAACCGCUUUCGCCUGUGACGAAGCGUGAGUGACGGUAAUGGGUAAAGAAGCACCGGCUAACUACGUG